rnacentral:lncRNA from 1 species
AAGGAACCUCCUCAUGCAGUGCAAAAAGUGGAUUUUAUAUUUUUCUGAAUAUUCUCUGCUUUUUGGAAUACCACCUGCAACUGGACACGGAAGUUUAUAAGUCAACGGUGGCUUCCGAAUCGAGAACGAAGAAAGUAUCGCCAAGUAAAGCUUGACCUCUGCUCUGACCAGACAGACCUGUGGUGGUUCAGCCCAACUACUUUAGUCAGAGAUCUCGGUUUGCGCUGAUGAUGAGUCAUAGCUCAGUCUGGAGCCUCUGCAUCGCAGUCGGAAGCAAGGAAUACAGAGCAGCUCACACACUCACACACACCCUCUCUCUCCUCUCUCUCUCUCUGUCUCUGUUUUGGUCAUUAAGGGAGGG